UGGCAGCAGGCGCGCAACUUCCGCAAUGCACGAAAGUGUGACGGGGGCAGUCCGAGUGCUUUCCGAAAGGAAAGCUUUUCCCAAGCUUGAUUCGUUUGGGGAAUAAGGGGUGGGUAAAUCUCGUGCCAGCCGCCGCGGUAAUACGAGUAGCCCAAGUGGUGUCCGUGAAUAUUGAGCUUAAAGCGUCCGUAGCCGGCUUUGCAAGUUUCCUGUGAAAUCUCUCCGCUUAACGGAGAGGCGUGCAGGGGAUACUACAAGGCUUGAGAGUGGGGGAGGUCAGAGGUACGCUAGGGGGAGCGGUAAAAUGCUGUAAUCCUUAGCGGACCACCAGUGGCGAAAGCGUCUGACCAAAACACGUCUGACGGUGAGGGACGAAGGCUAGGGGAGCAAACGGGAUUAGAUACCCCUGUAGUC
rnacentral:rRNA from 1 species